CGGGGCAUGGCCUAAUUGGCUAAGGCGCAGCGUUUGGGACGCUGAGAUUCCGAGUUCGAGUCUCGGUGCCCCGA
rnacentral:tRNA from 1 species